rnacentral:rRNA from 1 species
UACGGGGGGGGCAAGCGUUGUUCGGAAUUACUGGGCGUAAAGGGCUCGUAGGUGGCCAACUAAGUCAGACGUGAAAUCCCUCGAGUCUAACGGGGAACUGCGUCUGAUACUGGAUGGCUUGAGUUCGGGAGAGGGAUGCGGAAUUCCAGGUGUAGCGGUGAAAUGCGCAGAUAUCAGGAGGAACACCAAUAGCGAAGGCAGCUCGCUGGGACGUUACUGACACUGAGGCGCGAAAGCGUGGGGAGCGAACAGG